rnacentral:rRNA from 1 species
AUUGAACGCUAGCGGCAGGCCUAACACAUGCAAGUCGAACGAGUGGCGGACGGAUGAGGAAUGUCUGGGAAACUGACUGAUGGAUGGGGAUAACUACUGGAAACGGUAUCUAAUACCGCCUACCAUCAGCUGUGCCCAGAUGGGAUUAGCUUGUUGGUGGGGUAACGGCGCACCAAGGCGACGAUCCCUAGCUGGUCUGAGAGGAUGACCAGCCACACUGGAACUGAGACACGGUCCAGACGCCUACGUGAGGCAGCAGUGGGGAAUAUUGCACAAUGGGCGCAAGCCUGAUGCAGCCAUGCCGCGUGUAUGAAGAAGGCCUUCGGGUUGUAAAGUACUUUCAGUGGGUAGGCGUUACCCACAGAAGAAGCACCGGCUAACUCCGUGCCAGCCGCCGCGGUAAUUC